GAGUACCAGCUGCAGUUGUGGUGGCAUUGGCUGUUGUAGUGUGGGCUGCAGUUGUGGUUAUAGGGGAAGUUGUAGUGGCAACUGCUGUUGAGGUACCAGCUGCAGUUGUGGUGGCAUUGGCUGUUGUAGUGUGGGCUGCAGUUGUGGUUACAGGGGAAGUUGUAGUGGCAACUGCUGUUGAGGUACCAGCUGCAGUUGUGGUGGCAUUGGCUGUUGUAGUGUGGGCUGCAGUUGUGGUGACAGGUGAAGUUGUAGUAGCAGCUGCAGUUGUAGUAGCAGCCUCUGUCGUAAGAGUGACUGCAGUUGUGGUGGCAGAAAUUGUUGAAGUGUGGGCUGCAGUUGUGGUUGCAGGGGAAGUUGUAGUGGCAACUGCUGUUGAGGUACCAGUUGCAGUUGUGGUGGCAUUGCCUGUUGUAGUGUGGGCUGCAGUUGUGGUGACAGGGGAAGUUGUAGUGGCAACUGCUGUUGAGGUACCAGCUGCAGUUGUGGUGGCAUUGGCUGUUGUAGUGUGGGCUGCAGUUGUGGUGACAGGUGAAGUUGUAGUUGUAGCUGC
ensembl:lncRNA